rnacentral:rRNA from 1 species
GCUCCUCUGAUUCAGCGGCGGACGGGUGAGUAACACGUGGGCAACCUGCCUGUAAGACUGGGAUAACUUCGGGAAACCGGAGCUAAUACCGGAUAACUCAUGAGACCUCAUGGUCUUAUGAUAAAAGAUGGUUUCGGCUAUCACUUACAGAUGGGCCCGCGGCGCAUUAGCUAGUUGGUGAGGUAACGGCUCACCAAGGCGACGAUGCGUAGCCGACCUGAGAGGGUGAUCGGCCACACUGGGACUGAGACACGGCCCAGACUCCUACGGGAGGCAGCAGUAGGGAAUCUUCCGCAAUGGACGAAAGUCUGACGGAGCAACGCCGCGUGAGCGAUGAAGGCCUUCGGGUCGUAAAGCUCUGUUGUUAGGGAAGAACAAGUAUCAGUUAACUGCUGGUACCUUGACGGUACCUAACGAGAAAGCCACGGCUAACUACGUGCCAGCAGCCGCGGUAAUACGUAGGUGGCAAGCGUCGUCCGGAUUUAUUGGGCGUAAAGCGCGCGCAGGCGGUUCUUUAAGUCUGAUGUGAAAGCCCCCGGCUCAACCGGGGAGGGUCAUUGGAAACUGGGGAACUUGAGUGCAGAAGAGAAGAGCGGAAUUCCACGUGUAGCGGUGAAAUGCGUAGAGAUGUGGAGGAACACCAGUGGCGAAGGCGGCUCUUUGGUCUGUAACUGACGCUGAGGCGCGAAAGCGUGGGGAGCAAACAGGAUUAGAUACCCUGGUAGUCCACGCCGUAAACGAUGAGUGCUAAGUGUUGGAGGGUUUCCGCCCUUCAGUGCUGCAGCUAACGCAUUAAGCACU